CUACGGGACGCAGCAGUGAGGAAUAUUGCGCAAUGGGGGGAACCCUGAUGCAGCAACGCCGCGUGGAGGAUGACGCAUUUCGGUGUGUAAACUCCUUUUAUAUGUCAAGAAAAUGACGGUAGCAUAUGAAUAAGCACCGGCUAACUCCGUGCCAGCAGCCGCGGUAAUACGGAGGGUGCAAGCGUUACUCGGAAUCACUGGGCGUAAAGGACGCGUAGGCGGGUUGGAAAGUCAGGUGUGAAAUCCUACAGCUUAACUGUAGAGCUGCACUUGAAACUUCUAAUCUAGAGUAUGGGAGGGGGAGAUGGAAUUAGUGGUGUAGGGGUAAAAUCCGUAGAUAUCACUAGGAAUACCUAAAGCGAAGGCGAUCUCCUGGAACAUUACUGACGCUGAGACGCGAAAGCGUGGGGAGCAAACAGGAUUAGAUACCCGUGUAGUC
rnacentral:rRNA from 1 species